AGUGAACGCUGGCGGUAGGCCUAACACAUGCAAGUCGAACGGCAGCACAGUAAGGGCUUGCUCUUACGGGUGGCGAGUGGCGGACGGGUGAGGAAUACAUCGGAAUCUACUUUUUCGUGGGGGUUAACGUAGGGAAACUUACGCUAAUACCGCAUACGACCUACGGGGGUAAGCAGGGGAUCUUCGCACCUUGCGCGAUUGAAUGAGCCGAUGUCGGAUUAGCUAGUUGGGGGGGUAAAGGCCCACCCAGGCGAGGAUCCGUAGCUGGUCUGAGAGGAUGGUCGGCCACACUGGAAGUGAGACACGGUCAAGACUCCUACGGGAGGCAGCAGUGGGGAAUAUUGGACAAUGGGCGCAAGCCUGAUCCAGCCAUACCGCGUGGGUGAAGAAGGCCUUCGGUUUGUAAAGCCCUUUUGUUGGGAAAGAAAAGCAGCAGGUUAAUACCCCGCUGUUCUGACGGUACCCAAAGAAUAAGCACCGGCUAACUUCGUG
rnacentral:rRNA from 1 species